rnacentral:rRNA from 1 species
UACGGGGGGUGCGAGCGUUGUCCGGAAUCACUGGGCGUAAAGGGCUCGUAGGCGGUUUGUCGCGUCGGGAGUGAAAACACACAGCUUAACUGUGUGCUGGCUUCCGAUACGGGCAGACUAGAGGUAUGCAGGGGAGAACGGAAUUCCUGGUGUAGCGGUGAAAUGCGCAGAUAUCAGGAGGAACACCGGUGGCGAAGGCGGUUCUCUGGGCAUUACCUGACGCUGAGGAGCGAAAGUGUGGGGAGCGAACAGG